GGAUCCACCCGUCUUGGGCUCCCAAAGUGCUGGGACUACAGACAUGAGCCACCACACCUGGCCUCCUAGACACAUUUCAAGGAGAAACAGAAACCUAUCACCACCAUCAACUCGCACCACCCUCAAUCCCACCCUAGAAAAUCCUUAGGAGAAUCCGAGUACACAGACCCCACAGGUAAGACAUCAUGUCAGGGCAGCAGCACAGGGGGCUGUGUGCCUCUCUGAUUAACAGCUACAGGUUCAGGGGCUGGGACCAUGGCCAGCUUCAGGAGGGUGCAGGAGUGUGAGGGCCAGAAUGGGACUCACAGCAUAGGGACAGAUGAGCCGACGAAGGAACUGAUUUUUUAAAAAAUGACUAAUGAAGAGAUUUUUGUGACACGCCAAGUCAUUUUAUUGGGAAAUUUUAAAGAGCCAGUAUAGACAAAAGCAAUGGAAAAGAUUGCACACACACAGUGAACAGAAAAAUGGUGAAAUCCAGGACUGACCAUUUAGGAAAGAUUGUACAUUAUAAAAUAAGAAAACACUAGUUUCCUGGUUGGCUCUGACUUUAUCCAGUUAUCACUGGUGGCUUGGUUGCCCGUUUGUUUCACAUUGUGUGGUCUGGGCAAGUCUGUGCAGAGUGUGGGCAAAGGAAAAUCCCGGAAGGGCAAAGCACAAGGCACAUGAAGCAGAAGCCAAGGGGAUCUGCUGGUGACAGAUAGGUUAGAAAAAGGAUUAGACAGAAUGGGGUUAAGCAGAGCCUUGCCAGCGGGAGACAGCGAGCGUUACCACAGCUCCUGGGCAGGGGUGGAGCCAGGCCGGCCGCCUAGCAGCAGCAUUGCUUCUGGCAGCAGCAUUUCUGCUGGCAACAGCCCUUCUGCUGGCAACAGCCUUUCCCACAGCCGCAGCCACACGAGCUGCAGGUGCGGCGGCAGCAGCAGAUCACGGGCGUGCUACAGCAGCCCCCACAGCAGCCGCGGCAGCAGGGGCAGCAGCUGGAGCAGCAGCCCACCCGGUAGCACCUGCAGGUGGUGCAGCUGCCACAGCCACCACCACAGCCACCACAGCCACCACCGCAGCCACCACAGCCACCACCACAGCCACUACCGCAGCCACCACAACUUCCACAACCACAGCAACCCAUGGUGUCAGUAGAGAGGACUCAGGAGAAGUGAGGAUGGAGGACUCAGGAGAGGUGAGGAGGUCUGAUGCCUCCUUCUGCUCGGGGGAGGCCCUUAUGUACCAACUCUGGGGAGAGGAGAGGGAAGACACAUGACCAUUUCCUUGUUAUUGUUUAUUCCAGUUUCCGCAGGGAAACCUCCUGUUGAUGUCCCUAUUAGGUACCUUUCAUCUCAUUAAGGCACUUAUCUUCAAUUCAGCUAAAUUAACCUCUGUUUCAUCCAGUGGGAAUAUUCAGCCAAGGACCUAUCCCUAUUUUCAAAUACAGCCAGUCUUGAAUAGAUGAGCCAGAGAGAUAUAUCUGUCAUUGAUGGUUUCCUUGCUCACUAAUCUUUUCCCAGGAGAAUCACAUAUUUCCCUGGACAUCGCCCCAGAAAAAAUUCCUAGGGUUUACUUGAUUAGGAGAAGGAGAGCACAGAAGCUAACAUAAAGGAAGUUCCCCAUCUUUGCUAUUUUCUCUCUGGUCUGGAAGUCACAAUUCAAAGAGGCCACCUGCAUCUGGGUUAGUGGCUAUGUCUGAUUCUUCUACCUGGGAGAGCCCUCAGCACACACAGUGAGCUCAUUCAGGGAAUUAUCAAGAUCAGCCUCACUAGGGAAGCCCACAGCCCUCAGACCCAGCUUCAGUACCUUCUGGUCCUCGGGUUUCUGCCUCCUAAUGAAUUCUUCUCACACGAGUCACAUGUUGCAGGUCCUACUUUAAUGACACAGCUGGCAGCAAGGCAACUCCGAGGUAAGGGUCCAGAGGCCCCAGGAAGCUUUGCUGCCCCAAAGACAGCCUCAUCUGGCCUUGCAAUGUUGCUCAGAACUCAGGAAGAAGGGGACUAAUCAGUGGCGGGCUUCCCAAAACAUGUUUGCUAGAAGAUUCCUUUCACAGGACAUUAAAAGGCAACACACAAAAAAGGUUUGACUGUUUUUGAGAAAUAAUGAAUUUAAAUAAAACCCAACAGACUUUUUGACUCUGUUCUUCGCAGUGGCUUGCCUUUGUCACGUGCUCUGUGACUCUCUAAGUGGGAGGGGGAGUAUGCGGCACCCCGCACCCUGGACCGAACUUCCUUUCAGUCUGGAAAGCAAGGCUUUCAUUUACUUCUCAGGCGUGGAGUCCCAGGACGUCCCACGUUCAGAUUUUGAUGGUGGAUUUAGAAAAGCACAUUCACACAUUGACCAAAGAGAAGAGAAAUGGUAGAGCAGCAGUUCUCAAACGUAUUACUCUCUGGAUCCCUAUGCUCCUAAAAAGUAUUGAGAACUCCAAAUUGUCCUUGUUAUAUGGCUUUUAUCUAUGGAUAUUUAAUGCAUUCUAAGUUAACACUGAGACUUUUAAAAAGUUUAUUAAUUCAUUUUAAAAUAACAAUGUAAGCCCGUUAUGUGAUCACCUAUAUAAUACAUUUUGGGGAAAAAAACACUGCAUUUUCCAAAAUAAAAAAAAA
ensembl:lncRNA